UUUUUUUUGUUUUUGUUUUUUUUUUUUUUUUUUUUGCUUUUAAAAAUUUAUCUACCAGAGUAACCAUUCCAAUCCAGCGAGAGGAAGAUCGUGAAGCCGUUCCAUCACCGCACCGUGUUCCCUCAGGACCCUGGGCUGUCAAUACUCCCGAAGGCAACCGUUAGCUCGACUUUGUCAUUAUUUCGGCUUGUUCUUGAACUUCACAUAAAUGAGCUUUCCUGUACGCUUCUAUUCCACUCUUCAACGGCCUCUGGAUAUUCUAUAAUGUAUAUACCAGUUUCAUUAAAUAUUCCCUAACUGAACACUUAUUUCCAAUAUACAUAUUAUAUACAAAUAUUCCAAUAUUAUAUAUAUAUAUAUUAAGAAUAUCGCAAGGGGUGUGCUUGUGUGCGAGAAAUUUCCAUCGGAGGGAGACACGGUGGGCCGAGGGCUCCCCCGCUUCGGGCCUAGCGGAACCUCCGAUCGCGCGGUCCCGCCGCACGUGGUCUCUGAGACCUCCCAUCACGGUACCCUCGGGACCCGGACCGCAAGAGCUGUCGGCCCCAGUUUCCCUCCCGGAAGUGGCGCGGGGGUGACUCUCGCCGUUUCCGCCGCCGAGGGGGCGGGGCUGGGGCUGGGGCUGCCCUGCCUUUGCGGUCGCGGUCGCGGUCGCGGGCUGAUGACGCAGGGCGCCGCGUGCUCCCCCCACGUGUGCUGCGGUUCUCCCGGCGUCUGCGGGGCUGCCGCUUCGGCUCUCCCCGGGGGCGUAGUUGCUGGCGCUUGCCGCGCGCGACCUCCGCGGCUCGGGGGGUGCUCCGAGCGCUACGUAGGGAGCGCUGGGGGCCGCCGGGGGCAGCAGGGCCUGCGGACAUGGAGCACCUUUUCCUGGAGGUGGCGGCUGCCCCGCUGCGCUUACUCGCUGCCAAGAACGAGAAGAGCCGUAGCGAACUGGGCAGGUUCUUGGCCAAACAGUCACAGAGAGAGAGAGACAGAGGCAGAGACACAGGCAGAGGGAGAAGCAGGCUCCAUGCACCGGGAGCCCGACGUGGGAUUCGAUCCGGGGUCUCCAGGAUCGCGCCCUGGGCCAAAGGCAGGCGCUAAAUCGCUGCACCACCCAGGGAUCCCAUCUGAGAUUGUAUUUGAAAUAGUAUUGGAUCCGAAAGCUACUAGAAAGUUCAGUUGA
ensembl:lncRNA